rnacentral:rRNA from 1 species
AACGAACGUUGGCGGCGUGGAUGAGGCAUGCAAGUCGAACGUGAAAGCCGCAAGGUGAGUAGCGUGGCGGACGGGCGAGUAACACGUAAUCAAGCUGCCUGCGAGACGGGGAUAACUUCGGGAAACCGAAGCUAAGACCCGAUGGUCUACCGAGACUGCAUGGUUUUUGGUAGUAAAUGGGCGGGAUCCUUCGGGAUCGCCUGCUCGCAGAGGUGAUUGCGGCCCAUCAGCUAGUUGGUAGGGUAAUGGCCUACCAAGGCAACGACGGGUAGCCGGCCUAAGAGGGUGGUCGGCCGCACUGGGACUGAGACACUGCCCAGACUCCUACGGGAGGCUGCAGUCGAGAAUCUUCCGCAAUGGGCGAAAGCCUGACGGAGCGACGCCGCGUGGAGGACGAAGGCCUCGGUUGUAACGUACUGUCACGAGUUAAGAAGGACGCGAUGCGCGAACAGCGCAGGCGUUUGACGUAAGCUCGAGAGGAAG